UUAAGCGACUAAGCGUACACGGUGGAUGCCCUGGCAGUCAGAGGCGAUGAAGGACGUGCUAAUCUGCGAUAAGCGUCGGUAAGGUGAUAUGAACCGUUAUAACCGGCGAUUUCCGAAUGGGGAAACCCAGUGUGUUUCGACACACUAUCAUUAACUGAAUCCAUAGGUUAAUGAGGCGAACCGGGGGAACUGAAACAUCUAAGUACCCCGAGGAAAAGAAAUCAACCGAGAUUCCCCCAGUAGCGGCGAGCGAACGGGGAGCAGCCCAGAGCCUGAAUCAGUGUGUGUGUUAGUGGAAGCGUCUGGAAAGGCGCGCGAUACAGGGUGACAGCCCCGUACACAAAAAUGCACAUGCUGUGAGCUCGAUGAGUAGGGCGGGACACGUGGUAUCCUGUCUGAAUAUGGGGGGACCAUCCUCCAAGGCUAAAUACUCCUGACUGACCGAUAGUGAACCAGUACCGUGAGGGAAAGGCGAAAAGAACCCCGGCGAGGGGAGUGAAAAAGAACCUGAAACCGUGUACGUACAAGCAGUGGGAGCCUCUUUUAUGGGGUGACUGCGUACCUUUUGUAUAAUGGGUCAGCGACUUAUAUUCUGUAGCAAGGUUAACCGAAUAGGGGAGCCGAAGGGAAACCGAGUCUUAACUGGGCGUUAAGUUGCAGGGUAUAGACCCGAAACCCGGUGAUCUAGCCAUGGGCAGGUUGAAGGUUGGGUAACACUAACUGGAGGACCGAACCGACUAAUGUUGAAAAAUUAGCGGAUGACUUGUGGCUGGGGGUGAAAGGCCAAUCAAACCGGGAGAUAGCUGGUUCUCCCCGAAAGCUAUUUAGGUAGCGCCUCGUGAAUUCAUCUCCGGGGGUAGAGCACUGUUUCGGCAAGGGGGUCAUCCCGACUUACCAACCCGAUGCAAACUGCGAAUACCGGAGAAUGUUAUCACGGGAGACACACGGCGGGUGCUAACGUCCGUCGUGAAGAGGGAAACAACCCAGACCGCCAGCUAAGGUCCCAAAGUCAUGGUUAAGUGGGAAACGAUGUGGGAAGGCCCAGACAGCCAGGAUGUUGGCUUAGAAGCAGCCAUCAUUUAAAGAAAGCGUAAUAGCUCACUGGUCGAGUCGGCCUGCGCGGAAGAUGUAACGGGGCUAAACCAUGCACCGAAGCUGCGGCAGCGACGCUUAUGCGUUGUUGGGUAGGGGAGCGUUCUGUAAGCCUGUGAAGGUGUGCUGUGAGGCAUGCUGGAGGUAUCAGAAGUGCGAAUGCUGACAUAAGUAACGAUAAAGCGGGUGAAAAGCCCGCUCGCCGGAAGACCAAGGGUUCCUGUCCAACGUUAAUCGGGGCAGGGUGAGUCGACCCCUAAGGCGAGGCCGAAAGGCGUAGUCGAUGGGAAACAGGUUAAUAUUCCUGUACUUGGUGUUACUGCGAAGGGGGGACGGAGAAGGCUAUGUUGGCCGGGCGACGGUUGUCCCGGUUUAAGCGUGUAGGCUGGUUUUCCAGGCAAAUCCGGAAAAUCAAGGCUGAGGCGUGAUGACGAGGCACUACGGUGCUGAAGCAACAAAUGCCCUGCUUCCAGGAAAAGCCUCUAAGCAUCAGGUAACAUCAAAUCGUACCCCAAACCGACACAGGUGGUCAGGUAGAGAAUACCAAGGCGCUUGAGAGAACUCGGGUGAAGGAACUAGGCAAAAUGGUGCCGUAACUUCGGGAGAAGGCACGCUGAUAUGUAGGUGAAGCGACUUGCUCGUGGAGCUGAAAUCAGUCGAAGAUACCAGCUGGCUGCAACUGUUUAUUAAAAACACAGCACUGUGCAAACACGAAAGUGGACGUAUACGGUGUGACGCCUGCCCGGUGCCGGAAGGUUAAUUGAUGGGGUCAGCGCAAGCGAAGCUCUUGAUCGAAGCCCCGGUAAACGGCGGCCGUAACUAUAACGGUCCUAAGGUAGCGAAAUUCCUUGUCGGGUAAGUUCCGACCUGCACGAAUGGCGUAAUGAUGGCCAGGCUGUCUCCACCCGAGACUCAGUGAAAUUGAACUCGCUGUGAAGAUGCAGUGUACCCGCGGCAAGACGGAAAGACCCCGUGAACCUUUACUAUAGCUUGACACUGAACAUUGAGCCUUGAUGUGUAGGAUAGGUGGGAGGCUUUGAAGUGUGGACGCCAGUCUGCAUGGAGCCGACCUUGAAAUACCACCCUUUAAUGUUUGAUGUUCUAACGUUGACCCGUAAUCCGGGUUGCGGACAGUGUCUGGUGGGUAGUUUGACUGGGGCGGUCUCCUCCUAAAGAGUAACGGAGGAGCACGAAGGUUGGCUAAUCCUGGUCGGACAUCAGGAGGUUAGUGCAAUGGCAUAAGCCAGCUUGACUGCGAGCGUGACGGCGCGAGCAGGUGCGAAAGCAGGUCAUAGUGAUCCGGUGGUUCUGAAUGGAAGGGCCAUCGCUCAACGGAUAAAAGGUACUCCGGGGAUAACAGGCUGAUACCGCCCAAGAGUUCAUAUCGACGGCGGUGUUUGGCACCUCGAUGUCGGCUCAUCACAUCCUGGGGCUGAAGUAGGUCCCAAGGGUAUGGCUGUUCGCCAUUUAAAGUGGUACGCGAGCUGGGUUUAGAACGUCGUGAGACAGUUCGGUCCCUAUCUGCCGUGGGCGCUGGAGAACUGAGGGGGGCUGCUCCUAGUACGAGAGGACCGGAGUGGACGCAUCACUGGUGUUCGGGUUGUCAUGCCAAUGGCACUGCCCGGUAGCUAAAUGCGGAAGAGAUAAGUGCUGAAAGCAUCUAAGCACGAAACUUGCCCCGAGAUGAGUUCUCCCUGACCCUUUAAGGGUCCUGAAGGAACGUUGAAGACGACGACGUUGAUAGGCCGGGUGUGUAAGCGCAGCGAUGCGUUGAGCUAACCGGUACUAAUGAACCGUGAGGCUUAACCUU
rnacentral:rRNA from 1 species